rnacentral:ncRNA from 1 species
UCUUAUCAAGAGCGACGGAGGGAACAGGCCCUGUGAAGUCCGACAACCUGCCGAAAGGCAAGGUGCCAAAUCCUGCGGUGUACACCGAAAGAUAAG